AGUACGCGUGGAUAUCUGCCUUUUGGUUCGGAAUAACCCCGGGAAACUGGGGCUAAUACCGGAUGGUUCCUACGGGAUAAAGGUUUAUCGCCAAAAGAUGAGUCCGCGUCCGAUUAGCUAGUUGGUGAGGUAACGGCUCACCAAGGCGACGAUCGGUAGCUGGUCUGAGAGGACGAUCAGCCACACUGGGACUGAGACACGGCCCAGACUCCUACGGGAGGCAGCAGUGGGGAAUAUUGGACAAUGGGGGCAACCCUGAUCCAGCCAUGCCGCGUGAGUGAUGAAGGCCUUCGGGUUGUAAAGCUCUUUUGGCGGGGACGAUGAUGACGGUACCCGCAGAAUAAGCCCCGGCUAACUUCGUGCCAGCAGCCGCGGUAAGACGAAGGGGGCUAGCGUUGUUCGGAAUUACUGGGCGUAAAGCGCGUGUAGGCGGUUGUUCAAGUUGGAUGUGAAAGCCU
rnacentral:rRNA from 1 species